AGACACCGGAAAUUGUGGCUAUAGACAGAGGCCAUGGGAAUCACAUGUGUUUGGAAAUCUAUCCAUUUGUUCAGGAUUCUCCAAUUUAUUAAGGUGUAAUAUAACAAAUGGCCACAUAGAAGAGAAAUGUAGAUUGCUGAGGAAGAUAAAUAAGAAGAGAGGGGCUGGGGAGAUGGCUCAGUAGAAUAAGCAUUUGCCU